rnacentral:rRNA from 1 species
UACGUAGGGUGCAAGCGUUGUCCGGAAUUAUUGGGCGUAAAGAGCUCGUAGGCGGUCUGUCGCGUCUGCUGUGAAAACUCAGGGCUUAACCCUGAGCUUGCAGUGGGUACGGGCAGACUAGAGUGCGGUAGGGGAGACUGGAAUUCCUGGUGUAGCGGUGAAAUGCGCAGAUAUCAGGAGGAACACCGGUGGCGAAGGCGGGUCUCUGGGCCGUAACUGACGCUGGAGGCGACGAAAGCCUAGGGGAGCAAACAGG